UUAACUCGUAUUUGUAUGGAAUCGUAUCGUUUGCCUGCGUUUGCCGCUAGGGGCGCUGUUCCAACUGCAUACAAAAUUGGGCUA
rnacentral:pre_miRNA from 1 species